UACGUAGGUGACAAGCGUUGUCCGGAUUUACUGGGCGUAAAGAGCGCGCAGGCGGUCGAUCAAGUCGAGUGUGAAAGCCCCCGGCUCAACUGGGGAGGGUCAUUCGAUACUGAUCGACUCGAAGGCAGGAGAGGGUAGUGGAAUUCCCAGUGUAGUGGUGAAAUACGUAGAGAUUGGGAAGAACACCAGUGGCGAAGGCGGCUAUCUGGACGGUUACUGACGCUAAGACGCGAAAGCGUGGGGAGCAAACAGG
rnacentral:rRNA from 1 species